rnacentral:misc_RNA from 1 species
GGAUGGGAGCUUGUGCUACUAAGCCAAAGGUUCUGAAGGCGGAGGCCGGCGAGGCUCCGGCACCGGAGCCUUCUCCGGAGGAGGUGGCGGCCGGAACUAAACCGGAGAAUGACGGUGAUGAGAAGGCCGCGGAGAUCGUCCAUGAUGACAAGGUGGAUUCUAAGUCACGUUCUCUUAGUAAUUUGUUCACCGAUCAGAAAGAAGGAAGCAAGGAGUCCAAAGAAAACGAGAAGGCGGGAGCAGAAGAUCCAUCGGAGAAACAAGAGACCACCGCACAUGAAACUGAAAAGCAAGUAAUAAACCCACCGCCGGAGGAGAAGCGAUCGGAAAACAACCCACCGGAGUCGGAGCCACCAGUUUCCGACUCUGUUACAGAGAACAAAACUAUUAUCUCAUCAGAGAAACUAAUGGAAACCCCAAACGAACCAAACAAACACAAUGACCCAAAAAUUGAAGACAAAAUCAAAGUGGAAAUUACCAAUGAAAAUGAUCCUCCUCUUGAGAAGACAGAGUCAUCGGAGAAACCAACCGAAACAGAGAAGGAAGUGAAGGUAAUUAGCAAUUAAGAAAUAAUUUAAAAAAAAAAAAAGAAUAAUCCACGACCUUUAAAAAACAGAAACGAAAAGGUCUCAAAUUAAAAUUUCUCAAAAUAAACGAUUAAAGGCUGUUGAAAAAAAUCAAAGCUUAUCGCGUUCUGAUAUUUUAUAUUAAUAUUAAAAAAAAAUAAAAUUAUUAAAAUGUAAUCAAUUUUUUUUUUAAUUUAAUUGAUUUAGAUUUGAUUUUAAUUUCAAUUAGACUAAUUUAAUUUUAUUUUAAAUUGGAUAGUUGCCAAAUCUAAUUGAAUGAAAAUAUUUUAAUGACCUAUUUGACAUUAUUAUUUAUGUUAUUAAAAAAAUCUUCUCAAAAUAUAUCAGUGAGAAGACGUUAAAAAUUAAUUUAAAAUUAAAUAUAACAUGUCUUAAUCAUAAAUUUUACAAUUUUUUCAUUAUUUUGCAUUGGUGUUAAAGAAAUUAUUGGUAGUUCUAGAUAAAUUUCGGUGCAUAAUAGAAUUUCCUUUUAGUUAAAUGGCCCCAAAAAAAAUCAAUUUAGGCUCAUUAUUUCCCCAGGCAAUAACUUGUCUGGAAGAUGCUUAUUGCUGAAAAUAUAUUUUAUUUUGAUGGAGGCCAUGUGAUUGGUUUGAGCUGUAGGAACUCCAUAUUUCCCGCA